rnacentral:rRNA from 1 species
CCUUACACAUGCAAGUCGAACGGCAGCACGGGAGCUAAUCCGUGGUGGCGAGGUGGCGAACGGUGAGUAAUAUAUCGGAACGUGCCCAGUCGGUGGGGGAUAACGUAGCGAAAGCUACGCUAAUACCGCAUACGAUCUAUGGAUGAAAGCGGGGAUCGCAAGACCUCGCGCGAUUGGAGCGGCCGAUAUCAGAUUAGGUAGUUGGUGAGGUAAAGGCUCACCAAGCCGACGAUCUGUAGCUGGUCUGAGAGGACGACCAGCCACACUGGGACUGAGACACGGCCCAGACUCCUACGGGAGGCAGCAGGUGGGAAUUUUGGACAAUGGGCGCAAGCCUGAUCCAGCAAUGCCGCGUGCAGGAUGAAGGCCUUCGGGUUGUAAACUGCUUUUGUACGGAACGAAACGGUGAGCUCUAAUACAGUUUGCUAAUGACGGUACCGUAAGAAUAAGCACCGGCUAACUACGUG